rnacentral:rRNA from 1 species
GACGGAGGGGGCUAGCGUUGUUCGGAAUUACUGGGCGUAAAGCGCGCGUAGGCGGCUUUGUAAGUUAGAGGUGAAAGCCCAGGGCUUAACCCUGGAAUUGCCUUUAAGACUGCAUCGCUAGAAUCGUGGAGAGGUGAGUGGAAUUCCGAGUGUAGAGGUGAAAUUCGUAGAUAUUCGGAAGAACACCAGUGGCGAAGGCGACUCACUGGACACGUAUUGACGCUGAGGUGCGAAAGCGUGGGGAGCAAACAGG